CAGGAUGCCGGCCCUCGAGGACCGACUUUGGACACCCCUGCGCUAAGCGGUUCUGCCUGUAUAUGCUCGGUGGCAUGCCGUCUCCCGCCGGGCAGCGGGACCUGGGAUUUUUGGAUCUAAAGGACAAGCUAAGCAGGAUCUGAAAGACCUUGAAGACGAGGGUUAUGCACCGACUACUGCGAAGCACAUGCUGUGUAACGUGGUCAAGUUUCUGAAGCACGUUGAAUCGAGCCAUCAGACAGCUAGUAAACUGUCUCAGGAAAAACUUUCUGGGAUUUUAUGUGAGCUGAAAACACUGCAGGCCAGUGUGUCCAAGAAGGUGACAGUACACAAAGAUAAGGUUCUACACACAGAAGCUGGUAAGAGCUUCCAUUCUGCCAUCUACACGUUUCUUUUUCAUCCGUUUUCUGGAAGAACGUUUAAAUUUCUAAUGUUUACACAGAGAAGGACGCCCCCGCAGCUGUGGAUGCAGAGUUCACUGCGGUUGCCCGAAAAAAGAUCCCUGAACUGCUACGCAAGUGGUUCCAGAUUUAAAUUUUCUAGUCUCCCCCGAUAACCGCUCAGCAUGUUUUUAUUGAAUUCUUUAAGUUUGUAACUCGAUCUGCAUGUUUUUCAGAAUACGUGGAGGAGCAGCAAAGCGGAGUCCGUUUCCAUAACAAACUGAUGGGAUACGUCUUGGGUUACCUGGCCAUGCUCUCCCGGCACAGGUCCGUGGUGUUGACCAGCAUGACGAAGAAGGACGUAGCCUCUGCAGAAAGCUGGGCGGACGGAACCGGGUUCCAGAUUUUGGUCGAUGAGCAAAAGGCUGCCGGAUGCGGUUGACAAGCAGCCUUUCUGCUCAACCAGGAGGAGUAUGGCUGGCUGAAUCGACUAAUCAAGACCUCUUGCUGCUCCGGGCAGCCAUGUUUUGAUUCACUUUCUUUUUUUCCAGCCUUUUUUUAAUUUAUAAUUUCUAAUUAAUUUUAUAUUGAGAAUUUGUGAAUUUUAUCUUAUUCAGUUACUUCUAUUUGUUGUUUUGCCUGUGGGGGUCGCCUUUCUGCACUCUACCUCGUUUGUGUCUCCUGGGCUUCCAUAGCUCGGUCCAGCCCUCAUAGUUUCUCCGCUUCCCCCUUUUCCCUCACAGCGGUGUUGUACCGCGCUGCUGUAAGUAAGUCAGAGGAAAGUUUGCUGCUGCGAUAUACGUUUGUUUUCUGUACGGAUGUUGUCGAAGUUUUACCAUAUGAUGUUUAUUGUUGUUAAUGUGUUAUUUUGCAGUUUUGACCAUCAUUGUGGGGUUUUAUAACCAGUUUUAUAAUUUUUUUAUUUUGGCGCGAACAAUCGGUGCUAAUCCAGCACAGUUCGGUUGAACAUUUUUAUUUUCACAUUUAGGAUGGAGUGCAGGAAGAGUGUUGAAGAGGAGGUUGAUUUGUUUUCACUCUUCUCCCCCAGAAUAAAAGACUUCAUUAAAACCUGGUCGAAUAACUUCUGGAGACUCCGUUAUACCACAUGUGUUUUCGGGUCACAGACUCUCAGAUGGACUUCCGGUCGCUAUCAAGCAGAUCUCCAGGGACCAGGUCCAGCGGUGGGCCAGACUGGUGAAGCUCAGCUGCAGAACCAGAACCAGUUCAGUUUCCACCUGAACCUAGGCGGCUGCCGUCCUCUGCUGGACAGGCAGCAGAACCGCAGGAGGGGGGUUCCCAUGGAAACCUGUGAUGUCAUUGUUCCAUCAGUGGGAGACCCCCCCAACCCCCACACACCCUGAGACCAAUCCUGGCUGUGACCCAUUCGGCUUGAGCCCGGCAAGCUCAGCCCGGUUCCCAUGGAGAUUGCCCUGCAGCAGCGGCUCUGUGAGGUCGGAGGUCACAGCCGCGUGAUCCGCAUGCUGGACUGGUUCGAGGUGGAAGGGCGCGACCCCGGGCGUGCUGAUGUCUCGGGACCCUGGAUGGAACAGCACACCCGAGUUGGAACUAACAACCGCACCAAACAGCUGUAUUUCCAACCUAUUGAUGGCCAACUUUGUGCCCCAACGGCAGAAAACAUCAAAAAAGCACUUGGUUCCUGAUAGUGAUGGAGUGGCCGCCACAGUGCCAAGAUCUGUUUUACCUCGUGACGGACCGCGGCGCAUUGCCCGAACGCUUUGCGCUCAGGUGGGCCCGCGCUCGUUACCUUGGCGACGUGCCGCAACCCCGGGCGCGCUGAUGUCUCGGCUCCGUCCCCGGCACGUUUUUCAGGCAGCUUUAUACUCAAAAUGUGAAAACCUGGAUCUGACUGCUAAGAACAUCAAUAAAGACAGUGUGUUCCCACCCCCACUCAUCUGUUACCCCUUUUUUUUCAUCCCUCUUCAUUCAUACACAUGUUUGCUUCUUUUUCUGCCAGAUUUUCACAUACUACCAUAAGAUGAAACCUCCACGGAAAAUCUUCCCCUCACCUCUCCCCAGAUAACCCAGUCACCACCAUUUGUCUCUACGUCCCUUGUUCCUUCAUCUCCUCAUCCCCCCACCGAUUGUCGUGUCUCGCUCUGUCCCGUAAUCACACAUCCAUGUCUUCCCCCUCUAUUCCUCAUCUUUUUGGAGAGAACAAAGUCCCUCGAAGUUUUUUUUUUUUUUUUCAUCUUCACAAAUGAAACUGACAGCUGGUGUCAAUUUGGAAGAACAAGAGUUUUUUUAAUCAGCGGCUGGAAAAUGGAACUGCCAAUGCAAGGGAAGUGGGAAAUCCCAUCGUUGCAUUCACAGAAUGAUGGCAAUGUGGUGGAUUUACCAGGAGUCACCAAACACUGUGAAGAUGCCGUCUGAUGUGCAGAUUGAUGAUAUAGAAGACUUAUAAACUCACAUGCUAGACAGUACCAUCUAUUCUGCAGAGCAAAAAAUGACCACACAAAAAUAUGUGUUCAAUAAAUGAAUCAAUGUUCAAUGAAUUUACUUGAACUUGAAGUUAACAUUGUUAAGACGUGGUCCAAUUUAGACAAAUCAAUCGCAGAUGCCCUCAUUGCAGGUAUUUUUUUAUUUGCUGUGUAGAACUGCAGUAAAGAGAAGUCCGCUUAAUGAAAGACCAUAUUUUAAGUCAAGACAUGUUACAGAAGUUAAAUAAUUAUGUCAUGAUUCAUAUUUUCAUUAAAGUGUCUAAUCCAUUCAGCACAUCAACUCAUCAUUCGACUUUGGGACCCUGGAUGGAACAGCACACCCGAGUUGGAACUAACAACCGCACCAAACAGCUGUAUUUCUAACCUAUUGAUGGCCAACUUUGUGCCCCAACGGCAGAAAGCAUCAAAAAUAGCAGAGCAAAGGGAAUUGAAGAUUCACAUGGAGUGGAUCAAAAAAUUGAGAUGUCCUUUGCCAAUGCAUACAGACGACGGGAUCAACCAAUUUGCAUGACAACAUCCAUUAACAGGGACAUGGGAAUCUCUCACAUUCUCUCUAUGAUAGAUUUAAUAAAAAAAAUCUAAAUGGACCAGAAGAGAAGCUCAGAAGCCUGAAUAUUUGCCAUGAUCUUAGGAAAGAAGUCAACUCAGCUGUUGCUGAACAGUUCAACAAAGAACUUGCUUCUGUAAGGUAUUCACUGUGCCAAAUGAAGGAUGACCAUUUCUAGCAGACUGGUGAGGGUCUUAAUUUAUCUGCACAAUGACAAGAACAACAGAAACUUUCAAAAAGACAUGGAGGCAAUGUGCAAUGCCCAGCUGGCCCUUUAUGGAGUGAAAAUACUCUCAAAAUAUUUGCGUGUGUAAAAAUAUCUGCAUGUGUAA